GACGAACGCUGGCGGCGUGCUUAACACAUGCAAGUCGAGCGGUAAAGGCCCUUUCGGGGGUACACGGAGCGGCGAACGGGUGAGUAACACGUGGGUGACCUGCCCUCAGCUCUGGGAUAAGCCUGGGAAACCGGGUCUAAUACCGGAUAUGACUCCAUGACGCAUGUUGUGGGGUGAAAGCCUUGUGCGGCUGAGGAUGGGCCCNGGCCUAUCAGCUUGUGGUGGGGUNAUGGCCUACCAAGGCGACGACGGGUAGCCGGCCUG
rnacentral:rRNA from 1 species